rnacentral:piRNA from 1 species
UGCAUCCCUUUUCUUCUGCAAUUUCAG